rnacentral:rRNA from 1 species
GAUGAACGCUGGCGGCGUGCCUAACACAUGCAAGUCGAGCGAGACGGUUACCAUUGAUCCUUCGGGUGAUUUAGUAACUAGACAGCGGCGGACGGGUGAGUAACGCGUGGGUAACCUGCCUUGUACUGGGGGAUAACGUUUUGAAAAGAACGCUAAUACCGCAUAAGCGCACAGCAUCGCAUGAUGCCGUGUGAAAAACUCCGGUGGUACAAGAUGGACCCGCGUCAGAUUAGCUAGUUGGUGAGAUAAAAGCUCACCAAGGCGACGAUCUGUAGCCGACCUGAGAGGGUGAUCGGCCACAUUGGGACUGAGACACGGCCCAAACUCCUACGGGAGGCAGCAGUGGGGAAUAUUGCACAAUGGGGGAAACCCUGAUGCAGCGACGCCGCGUGAAGGAUGAAGGAUUUCGGUUCGUAAACUUCUAUCAGCAGGGAAGAUAGUGACUGUACCUGACUAAGAAGCCCCGGCUAACUACG